GCUUACACAUGCAAGUCGAACGCCCCGCAAGGGGAGUGGCAGACGGGUGAGUAACGCGUGGGAACAUACCCUUUCCUGCGGAAUAGCUCCGGGAAACUGGAAUUAAUACCGCAUACGCCCUACGGGGGAAAGAUUUAUCGGGGAAGGAUUGGCCCGCGUUGGAUUAGCUAGUUGGUGGGGUAAAGGCCUACCAAGGCGACGAUCCAUAGCUGGUCUGAGAGGAUGAUCAGCCACAUUGGGACUGAGACACGGCCCAAACUCCUACGGGAGGCAGCAGUGGGGAAUAUUGGACAAUGGGCGCAAGCCUGAUCCAGCCAUGCCGCGUGAGUGAUGAAGGCCUUAGGGUUGUAAAGCUCUUUCACCGGAGAAGAUAAUGACGGUAUCCGGAGAAGAAGCCCCGGCUAACUUCGUGCCAGCAGCCGCGGUAAUACGAAGGGGGCUAGCGUUGUUCGGAAUUACUGGGCGUAAAGCGCACGUAGGCGGAUAUUUAAGUCAGGGGUGAAAUCCCAGAGCUCAACUCUGGAACUGCCUUUGAUACUGGGUAUCUUGAGUAUGGAAGAGGUAAGUGGAAUUCCGAGUG
rnacentral:rRNA from 1 species